rnacentral:rRNA from 1 species
AAAUUGAAGAGUUUGAUCAUGGCUCAGAUUGAACGCUGGCGGCAGGCCUAACACAUGCAAGUCGAACGGUAACAGGAAACAGCUUGCUGUUUCGCUGACGAGUGGCGGACGGGUGAGUAAUGUCUGGGAAACUGCCUGAUGGAGGGGGAUAACUACUGGAAACGGUAGCUAAUACCGCAUAAUGUCGCAAGACUAAAGAGGGGGACCUUCGGGCCUCUUGCCAUCGGAUGUGCCCAG